CUACGUGCCAGCAGCCGCGGUAAUACGGAGGGUGCGAGCGUUAAUCGGAAUAACUGGGCGUAAAGGGCACGCAGGCGGUGACUUAAGUGAGGUGUGAAAGCCCCGGGCUUAACCUGGGAAUUGCAUUUCAUACUGGGUCGCUAGAGUACUUUAGGGAGGGGUAGAAUUCCACGUGUAGCGGUGAAAUGCGUAGAGAUGUGGAGGAAUACCGAAGGCGAAGGCAGCCCCUUGGGAAUGUACUGACGCUCAUGUGCGAAAGCGUGGGGAGCAAACAGGACUAGAUACCCUGGUAGUCCACGCUGUAAACGAUGUCGAUUUGGGGGUUGAACUUUAAGUUUGGCGCCCGUAGCUAACGUGAUAAAUCGACCGCCUGGGGAGUACGGCCGCAAGGUUAAAACUCAAAUGAAUUGACGGGGGCCCGCACAAGCGGUGGAGCAUGUGGUUUAAUUCGACGCAACGCGAAGAACCUUACCAGGUCUUGACAU
rnacentral:rRNA from 1 species